UCACUGGUAGUCAAGUGGUUAAAACUCUGUGCUCCCAACGCAGGGGGCACGGGUUUGACCCCUGGUCAGGGAA
rnacentral:tRNA from 1 species